GUUUUUAGUACCAUGUGCUCGACGACUGCUGAGGGAACAAAGGAUCCAAGAUGGCCGACCUCAUGGUCUGCAGUCGAACGGCGGCCACCUAGGAGAGCCUCUAAUUACCGAUUGCAACAUUGUUGCAAUCGGUUAACAAGCGCCACACGUCUCUAAGUGUGUGGGCUACUACAUGGUGGUUAUUUCGAUUCACGAACGGCCCGCAAAAGUGCCGUUCGUGAAACGAAAGGAAAUACAGCUAUCUGCAUUCGGCAGAUAGCCAAUACAGUAAAUACACGUUAUUACAGCCGGCAUACAUUACACUUAGUUAAACACUUAUCCCCACAGACAUACAGGCAACUCUUAAAGGCACAGUCUCUUUAUAUUGUCCAAGUGGCUAGGUUUGCCACAGUUUUUAUUUGAUAUGAUGUCAAGAAACCCGUAGUGUUAGGUUGUUGGAUAAGCAUAUGGUGCUGGAUGCCUGUUAGGUAUAGUUUAAUGGUAUUAAAGGAUAGUUUAAGGUUGAUAUGGCAAACUAAGUAAAACUUAGUUUGCCACAUCAACUUAAAAUUGUUUCUAACGCAAACAUGUCGUGGAUGUUAAACUCGGUGAUAAAUUUCGUGAAUACGUGAAAAAGCCCUAUCAUUAGUGUUUAGUGAGAGUGCCAAAUGAGAAAUGUGACGUGCGUGGUCUAACAAAGUCUUUAAUCCAUUAUCAUGUCUUGGAAUAGAGGUGCAGGUGUCUCUCGUCUGCAAGCGUUGGGUAGUGUCGAGAGGAAAACGAAACAGAGACAAGUGAUCAGCAGAGGUGUUUGUGUGCCCCGGAAUGUGUAUGCAUGUUAUAAAGAAUUGACAAGUGGCCGCUACCCAUGUGAGACGCCUUAGUAGUCUCAUAAUGACCAGUGAUGCCGAUCGGCCUUUAUUGACAAUAUGGCAUGUAGCCAUAUUAUCUGAGUAGCA